ensembl:lncRNA USP3-AS1 USP3 antisense RNA 1
AGUUCUCCAGGCGCAGUGCGCGCAGGCGUGGGCAGCAGCGCAGCAGGCGCGCCAGGCAGUCGUCGGUAACGUGGCCGCAGCCCGAGAGCGUGACGGACGCCAGGUUGGGGCACCUGUGAGGAGAGUGCGGUGACCCGGGGCUCACUGGCUUGUUAAAGCUACCCAACCGCCCCAUGGGACCGAGUGGACUCAUUUACCGAGGAGGACUCGGGCCCUGCGAGGUGAAGACACUUGGCUGCGAUGACACUGCAGGGUUCCAAGUCGGCUUUCUGGCCGGCCCAUUUUCCCUCCUCUUUCUGCCCCUGCACCCCACCGUACCUUCAUCUGCGUGGGUUCUUGGCUCGUAGCCUUGGGAGCCCCUAGUGGGAAGCCCCGACCCCGGCCCAGCAGAGUCCUGGGGCGGCUGUGGACAGAGGGAAUGCCGGUUCCAGGAGCCACAACCCUUGACUCUUUGUUUCGCUCUGGAUGUGCUGCCUUGCAGGGGAGCGGUGCUUGGCGAUUGCUCCAGUCUAGCUUCAAGCUGAGGCCCCUGAAUGUCCCGGCGGGACGUCACUUCAUCCUGGCCCAGGUACUGCAGCUCCAAAUCGUGGGGAUUCUGUAAGAGCUUGCUACCUGUUGACUGAGGAGGCCCACGAGUUGAGAAGAACUAGCAAGAGUGGUACAAAACUGCAGGUCAUUGGGCUGGCCACCAGGUAUUCCCACCCACCAGAAGCUGGCUGUUGUACUCACCCGGAACCAUGGUGCACCACCACAGCGGCGAGGUCAUACAGGCAGCUCUCCGGGCCACUGUUCUCAGGCUACAGAACAAGGAAGAAGGAGCAGUGGUCAAUGACAUCAGUAUCUCGAUGACCUCUACCCUCUCCAUGUGAUGACAAUCUUACUGAAGAGCCAUUUUUUCACCAUGCUAAAAAGGUAACCACCUUACCUCUAGUAAGUAGCAUUUCAUGUCUAGGCCUCUCAGUGGAAAUUCUACGUAUGUAUCAACUUUAUUUCUUAAAUAUGCUGUCCAAUGAAAUCUUUUCAAAUGUAAGCAUAGCACCUGGAGGACAGAGAUGCGGUCAAAGAUUGUGAACACCUAAUUUACCUUUCAGUCAAAGUUUGAUACUACUAUCAGUUCAGUAAAUAACAUUUUAGCUGCCCUAUCAAUCAUUCUUCCAUGCAUACCUUAUGCAUUCAUUCUGUAAGGGGUUUAGCUUUUACUGAAAAUCCUAGAGAAAAAUACAGAACAGUUCACAUAGUGUAAAGUUAUAGACAUGGUCUUAGCAGUCAAGCACUUUCCCAUUGAAAUUGCUUCAUAACUCAAAAUUCAACACUCACCUUGGGUAGUUUUUGAAUCCAAAACUUUUUUGUGGACUUUUGUUUCUUUUUGCAUUUAUGGCACAUAUAUAACUCUGUCUCAUCAAGUUCUUCUAAGUCGGUAAAACUGCGAAGACAAUCUAAACAAAUUGAUUUUGGCAGCAUUAAAACAAGAUGCCUUUUGUAGAGGCAAUGUACUGUAGAAAAAAGACCCAGGUUUAAAAUCUCAGCUUUAUUAGCUAUACGACCUUAGAAAAGUUAACCUUUCUCAAUUGCAAACUGGAGACAAAAAAUAAUACCUACUUUGAAGAACUAUUAUAAGGAAGAGAAAUAAUGUGUAGAGCACCUGGCAUCAUGCCUGACAUCUGGUGAUGAUCAAUUGUGUUGGUUUUACUAUUAAUGAUAAUUCAUCUGGAUAAUUCUGAUAAAAUGGUUUCCUGAUGAAUUUAAAGUUUCAAUUGUAGUUUUCUGUCAAUAUGUUACAUUAUACAGGACAAAGCUCCAAACUCAUAAAAAAAAGUCAAAUUUAGAUAAUUUAAAAAUAAACAUAGAUCACAGAAGGCUACACUAUCAACCUUCUCUGUCCAGACGCUGUACUCUCAGUUCCUAGAUAAAUCACAGCUACAUUUUUUUUCAUUUAAAGAUGUAAUUGUGUAACCUGGGGUUUAGUAAACUACAGUCCUAAAACAUCCAGCCAGCCACCUGGUUUUGUAAAUAAAGUUUCAUUGGAACAGAGCCAUGCCCACUUGUUUACAUUAUUGUCUGGCUGCUUUUACACUACACCAAACUGAGUCACUGGGGCAGAGACCUUAUGUGGUGCAAAGCCUAAAACACUGUAAAUCUUCACUUAAUAUCAUGACAGGUUCUUGAAAAUUGUGACCUUAUGUGAAGCAACGAUAAACCACUUUUUUCUCAUCAAUGUUAUAACUAAACGUUAAAGGAAACUAUUAUUGGAGGACCUGCUGUAUGUCAUUUUGCUUUAAACUUGCAGUUUCCAAGAACCUACUGAUGACAUUAAAUGAAGACUUACUGUAUUUACUCUUUGGCCCCUGUGCCAAUUCCUGAUGCAAUCAGAUAUUCAUAAAUCUAUAUAAAAUACACGUUAUUCUGUAGAAAAAAUAUGAAUGCCUAUGGACCCCACACUUGGAUUUUCUCGAGUACUCAAGGAGCCAGGGUCUCUGUGCACGGCCUCUCCUAGAGUUGUGCAGUGGACAACCUGUGUGGCCAUGUGCUUCUUACCAAAGAUAAUUCCCCUUCCUCUGCCCAGAAGUAGCCAUUAUCCUGACUUUUAUGUCAUUUGUCUUUAUAGAACA